UACAGAGGGUGCAAGCGUUAAUCGGAAUUACUGGGCGUAAAGCGCACGUAGGCGGCUUGGUAUGUCGGGUGUGAAAUCCCCGGGCUCAACCUGGGAACUGCAUCCGAAACUGGCUUGCUGGAGUAUGGGAGAGGGAAGCGGAAUUUCCGGUGUAGCGGUGAAAUGCGUAGAUAUCGGAAGGAACAUCAGUGGCGAAGGCGGCUUCCUGGACCAAUACUGACGCUCAGGUGCGAAAGCGUGGGGAGCAAACAGG
rnacentral:rRNA from 1 species